rnacentral:rRNA from 1 species
GGAAUUUUGGACAAUGGGCGCAAGCCUGAUCCAGCCAUGCCGCGUGAGUGAAGAAGGCCUUCGGGUUGUAAAGCUCUUUCGGCGGGGACGAAACGGUCCGUGCCAACACCACGGACUAAUGACGGUAAGCGCAGAAGAAGCACCGGCUAACACAGUGCCAGCAGCCGCCGUAAUACGUAGGGUGCGGGCGUUAAACGGAAUUACUGGGCGUAAAGCGUGCGCAGGCGGCUCCUUAAGUCAGAUGUGAAAUCCCCGGGCUUAACCUGGGAACUGCGUUUGAAACUGAGGGGCUUGAGUGUGGAAGAGGGGGGUGGAAUUCCAGGUGUAGCAGUGAAAUGCGUAGAGAUCUGGAGGAACACCGAUGGCGAAGGCAGCCCCCUGGGCUAACACUGACGCUCAUGCACGAAAGCGUGGGGAGCAAAC